rnacentral:rRNA from 1 species
GAUGAACGCUGGCGGCGUGCCUAAUACAUGCAAGUCGAGCGAACAGACGAGGAGCUUGCUCCUCUGACGUUAGCGGCGGACGGGUGAGUAACACGUGGAUAACCUACCUAUAAGACUGGGAUAACUUCGGGAAACCGGAGCUAAUACCGGAUAAUAUAUUGAACCGCAUGGGUCACUAGUGAAAUACGGUUUUGCGGUCACUUAUAGAUUGAUCCGCGCCGCAUUAGCUAGUUGGUAAGGUAACGGCUUACCAAGGCAACGAUGAGUAGCCGACCUGAGAGGGUGAUCGGCCACACUGGAACUGAGACACGGUCCAGACUCCUACGGGAGGCAGCAGUAGGGAAUCUUCCGCAAUGGGCGAAAGCCUGACGGAGCAACGCCGCGUGAGUGAUGAAGGUCUUCGGAUCGUAAAACUCUGUUAUCAGGGAAGAACAAAUGUGUAAGUAACUAUGCAGGUCUUGACGGUACCGGAUCAGAAAGCCACGGCUAACUACGUG